rnacentral:rRNA from 1 species
AUUGAACGCUGGCGGCAUGCCUUACACAUGCAGGUCGAACGGUAACAGGUCUUCGGAUGCUGACGAGUGGCGAACGGGUGCGUAAUACAUCGGAACGUGCCCGAUCGUGGGGGAUAACGAGGCGAAAGCUUUGCUAAUACCGCAUACGAUCUACGGAUGAAAGCGGGGGAUCUUCGGACCUCGCCCGGCCGGAGCGGCUGAUGGCGGAUUAGGUAGUUGGUGGGAUAAAAGCUGACCAAGCCGACGAUCUGUAGCUGGUCUGAGAGGAUGAUCAGCCACACUGGGACUGAGACACGGCCCAGACUCCUACGGGAGGCAGCAGUGGGGAAUGUUGGACAAUGGGCGAAAGCCUGAUCCAGCCAUGCCGCGUGCAGGAUGAAGGCCUUCGGGUUGUAAACUGCUUUUGUACGGAACGAAAAGCCUCUUUCUAAUAAAGAGAGGUCAUGACGGUACCGUAAGAAUAAGCACCGGCUAACUACGUG